UUCAUUCAAACAAAAUAAAACGAAAGGGAUCGGCUGGAAAACCCUACGCGCAAACGGGUGGGAUUUGCUCAAAUGCUUCAAACCCAAAACAAUUUCUCUCUACCCCUCCUCCCGCUUCCUCUCCUCUACUCUGCUUGCCUACUCUCUCUCGUUCGCCCUCUUCUCUCCUCUGCUCUGCCAAGCUAGCGCUGGAAAACCCCUCCUCUUACAACAGACCAUAUCACCAGUGGCAUCAUAUAUAUCAGAGCUCUCUAUUGAAUCUGAAGCAGCACGAGCAGUUCAAGAUGCAGAAGUUUCUGGAGCAUCCAAAAUUCCAAUUCCAGAAGCAGAUCCUCUACUAGCAUAUCACGUAGUUGAUCGAGAUCGGGAUUAGGUGAAUAUGAAUUGCCCGACCCAAUGCUUUCAGUUAGUUACAGACCCUUUACCUUCGCUAUGCUCAGGUCGAUUGCUUACUGCAUUUUCUGUCACCCUCUAUUCAGAAAUACUCAAUACCCAAUUGCGCUUUCAGAUUCAGUAACAAAAUAAUGGUGGGGAGUCCAAGGCUCAAUCCUAGAAACUUUUUGUUGAAAGUCAUCGCAAUCUUGCACUUUUGCCUAUAAACGUGGUGGCACCAUCCUUGGUACUUCAAGAGGAGGUCAUGACACCACCUAAAUAGUUGAUAGCAUUGAAGACCGAGGGAUUAAUCAGGUCUACAUAAUAGGAGGAGAUGGGACACAGAAAGGAGCAUCUAUAAUAUAUAAGGAAAUUGAGAGACGUGGUUUGAAAGUGUCGGUUGCUGGAAUCCCCAAGACUGUCGAUAAUGAUAUCGCUAUGAACAACAUCAAUGCACCAACACAAGAGGUCCGCAAAACCAAGUCACUGAUUUACGAAAGAGGUCCUCAAAAUACUCACUGACCUCUCAGUUUAUAAUCAUGUUAACACAAGGGAGUGCCCACCUAGACUCAAACUGCUGCAAAUGAGAAACCCGGCGAUGAAGAAACUGAAAUGCAGAAUGAGCUAGAUGAUAAAAGAGACAAUGAUGAGAGGGACGAGAAUGGUGAAAGCACGGAGUGAAAGCUCGAUUUUCUUCUAAAUUUUCAUUGAAUCUCUGUUAAUUUGGAGGCCUACAUUGUGAAUAUGGUAAGUUCUUUUAAAUAUGGAUUUUUCAAAAACCAAUUCGAAAAUGAGCAGUUCUUUUAUAUUCAGAUUUUCAAAAUCAA